rnacentral:rRNA from 1 species
UACGUAGGGGGCGAGCGUUGUCCGGAUUUAUUGGGCGUAAAACGCUUGUAGGCGGCCACCGCGCGUCGGACGUGAAAUCUCCCGGCUCAACUGGGAGGGGUCGUGCGAUACGGCGGGGCUCGAGGCCGGUAGGGGGACGCGGAAUUCCCGGUGUAGUGGUGGAAUGCGUAGAUAUUCGGAAGAACACCAGUGGCGAAGGCGGCUCACUGGCCCGGUACUGACGCUGAGGUGCGAAAGCGUGGGGAGCAAACAGG